AUGGGUGGAGGCGUUGAUGGCAGCGAGACCGAGAGUUGUGGCGGCGUCCCUUUUGUGUGGAGCAGAGGUAGCUCCCCCGUCGGAAGUAGCCGCGCCGCCAUCGCUGUGGCAGGCAGUGUGGCAAGCGUCGGCGUCAGCAAGGAGAGCGUGGCACUAUGUAGCCGCGCCGUCAUCGCCGGAGAGGCACUCGCCGCGGCGAUGGAGUCUCAUUGUGCCAUCAGGCCGGCAGCCAUGAAGGUGGAGGUGACCAGCCCACCAUUCCACUUUUUCGUGCGGUUUGACUCGCUGGAGGAUUGCACUCGUGUGGUGCUCACGUCGGAGCAGGUGCGUUGCGGCGGCAGCAGAAUUAGUUUUCAACGUUGGUCAAGUUUGUCGCGUGGUAGGCCGUCGAAGCUGGAGUACAAGACGACGCUGAGUUUGGAGGGGCUCCCGGAAGAGGCCUGGGACCCGGAUACCGUCAACCUGGUGCUCGCCGGUGUUGACGGUGAGCUCAUCGACAUGCUCCUGGCUACUAACAAGAGGGUGCUGCCUUGCACGGCGUGGCUACGCAAUCCUAGUGCCAUUCUGAAGGUGCUCACUAUCUCUGUUCCGGCUCCUCCUCUACAACCGUGGACGCCAGACUCCGAUGACGAGAAUGCUCAUUCACCGCCGUGCCCGAACUCUCCAAUUGAUCGUGGCACCAUUGAUUUUCCAGUGACCAUACAUGUCAAGGACGUCAUCGACCGUGGCCAAUUGCUAACUAAAGGGUUGCCUGAUGAGUUACUCCCCGAUGAAGACGCCGAUCUCAGCCGCAAGCACACUUUCACAACCUGGCGCGGCAAGAUAGAUGGUACUGAACCUGGACCAUAUGGUAACGCUUAA
rnacentral:rRNA from 1 species